UCCGCCGGCAGCCGAUCCCUCUCCUACCCUAACUACAACUACAGCAACAGCUCUCCCCCCACUUAUCACCACCAUCACUCGUCCUCCCACGAGAUCAGAUUCCCCCACCCUCUCCCUCCCCAUCACCACGUCGUCGUCGGCGCCGUCCCCUGCCAUCCCAGCUCGUCCUCUUUCUCCUCCACCGCCUCCAUCUAUUCCACCACAUCGCUGGUCUUCACUAAUUUGUAGAUUCGGGUCGUGCUGCUCCUCCGCCUCCUCCUCCUCCUCCACCGCGCGCCUCCACCGCCUCCUCCUCAGGUCGCCCCCUUACCCCCUGUAAAUUAGUAUUAUCAAAUGAUUCCGACAGGCUUUUCUGUGCACUGAGAUAAUUGCUCUGCUAGGUGAUUUAUUUACAUAUGCUACUGGUUAACUUUUGCAUUUGCGUGAGCGUUUAAGAGAACGCAAUUGGGAAAUCUUGUUGCAAAUUUGGUUACAGAAUUAGGUGCAGACCGUGUGCUUACAUGUGAUCUUCAUUCUGGGCAAACAAUGGUGUAAUUUGAUAUUUCAGUGGAUCAUGUAUACGGUCAGCUUGUGAUUCUUGAUUACUUGGCCAGCAAGACCAUCUGUACAAACGAUUUGGUGUAGUGUCUCCUGAUGUUGGAGGUGUUGCGAGGGCUCGUGCUUUUGCGAAAAAGUUAUCAGAUGCUUCUCUUGCCAUUGUGGUUAAGAGGCCUCAUGGGCACAAAGUUGCUGAGGAUAUCCUGAAUUCUGAAUCAUAUGGGGAGACUGCCAAUAGCAAAGUAAGAAAGGAAUUUUUCAAAGAAACUCCAUGUAGGGAUUCAUACAUGUGUCGGUUCUGGUGGGGAAAGGCAAACCCCAGAAUGGUACAUGGAGCAAGGCAUAGAGGUAUUCCAUGUAGCAACUGAAACAAUAUUCAAAAUAACCCAUGUAACACUUAGCUUAUAUUGGCAAUCCUGGGAACGUGCAACAAUAUACAUGCAGAUAGCCUGACAAAUGAAGAAGGCUAAGACAACAUACAUGAAGGCAUGAAAACCAUAGCUCUAACCGAACAUUAGUGAUGUCACCUUCAUACACAACAUCUUCCACUGCUUCUCUGAAGGUGAAAGAUAGAACUGAAGCAACCCGCAUCGCCUCCUUAAUCACUCUAGAAGUUAGAGACAUCCUUUUGGUAUCCGACCAAUUCAGGGAUCUCUCCUCAUUGUUUAUAUUUAUCUUCUUGAUGAUUUCCCAUGUUCUCCCAACAAUUCAUUACCUUACUGAAAGGUACCCAAAAUAGUUUAAGAAAAGAAAAUUAAGAGCAGAGUGAUAUCUUACAGUUACUGCUUAGAGGAUGGUGUGGUUUUCACCGAGGAACUUGACAAUCCAUGUUAGAACGCUUGCAGUGGUGUCACGAGCAGCAAAGAAGACACCAAUGAUGUUGUCAAUGAUUUGAUCAUCACCUAGAUUGUUGGUUUGCAUAAAAUUAUAUGAUACCUCUCUUUUGAAAUUACUCAAAAGAGAGAGAUUGAGUAAUCAUUGUGUAUGUAUACAUUGUGUAUGUAAAAAAUUUUGUCUCUAAUAUUAUAUAUUGAGUAAUCAUUGUGUAUGUAAUUUUUUUUUGGAUAUUUAACACCGUUUGAGAUAUUAUUGUG